rnacentral:RNase_P_RNA from 1 species
CGGGUCGAUCGGGCAACCGCCGGGAGAAAUCCGGGAGGAAAGUCCGGGCACCGCAGGGCAAGGCGCUGGAUAACGUCCAGCGGGGGAAACCCCGGGAAAGCGUAACAGAGAGGAGACCGCCGGAAAAGGUUUUUCCUUUUCAGGUAAGGGUGAAAGGGUGAGGUAAGAGCUCACCGGCCGUUCGGGAGACCGGACGGGCCAGACAAGCCCCGCCCGGUGAAAGAUCGAACAGGAAACGACAGGGCGGCCCGUCCUGUUUCCGGGUGGAUCGCUCGAGCGCGGGGGUAACUUCGCGCCUAGACGAAUGGUUGCCGAUCCCGGAAAGGCUCACACCGGCCUUCCGGGGGAACAGAACCCGGCUUACAGAUCGGCCCGGAUU